rnacentral:rRNA from 1 species
CGCUAGCUACAGGCUUAACACAUGCAAGUCGAGGGGCAGCAUGGUCUUAGCUUGCUAAGGCCGAUGGCGACCGGCGCACGGGUGAGUAACACGUAUCCAACCUGCCGUCUACUCUUGGACAGCCUUCUGAAAGGAAGAUUAAUACAAGAUGGCAUCAUGAGUCCGCAUGUUCACAUGAUUAAAGGUAUUCCGGUAGACGAUGGGGAUGCGUUCCAUUAGAUAGUAGGCGGGGUAACGGCCCACCUAGUCUUCGAUGGAUAGGGGUUCUGAGAGGAAGGUCCCCCACAUUGGAACUGAGACACGGUCCAAACUCCUACGGGAGGCAGCAGUGAGGAAUAUUGGUCAAUGGGCGAGAGCCUGAACCAGCCAAGUAGCGUGAAGGAUGACUGCCCUAUGGGUUGUAAACUUCUUUUAUAAAGGAAUAAAGUCGGGUAUGGAUACCCGUUUGCAUGUACUUUAUGAAUAAGGAUCGGCUAACUCCGUGCCAGCAGCCGCGGUAAUACGGAGGAUCCGAGCGUUAUCCGGAUUUAUUGGGUUUAAAGGGAGCGUAGAUGGAUGUUUAAGUCAGUUGUGAAAGUUUGUGGCUCAACCGUAAAAUUGCAGUUGAUACUGGAUAUCUUGAGUGCAGUUGAGGCAGGCGGAAUUCGUGGUGUAGCGGUGAAAUGCUUAGAUAUCACGAAGAACUCCGAUUGCGAAGGCAGCCUGCUAAGCUGCAACUGACAUUGAGGCUCGAAAGUGUGGGUAUCAAACAGGAUUAGAUACCCUGGUAGUCCACACGGUAAACGAUGAAUACUCGCUGUUUGCGAUAUACUGCAAGCGGCCAAGCGAAAGCGUUAAGUAUUCCACCUGGGGAGUACGCCGGCAACGGUGAAACUCAAAGGAAUUGACGGGGGCCCGCACAAGCGGAGGAACAUGUGGUUUAAUUCGAUGAUACGCGAGGAACCUUACCCGGGCUUAAAUUGCAGAUGAAUUACGGUGAAAGCCGUAAGCCGCAAGGCAUCUGUGAAGGUGCUGCAUGGUUGUCGUCAGCUCGUGCCGUGAGGUGUCGGCUUAAGUGCCAUAACGAGCGCAACCCUUGUUGUCAGUUACUAACAGGUUCCGCUGAGGACUCUGACAAGACUGCCAUCGUAAGAUGUGAGGAAGGUGGGGAUGACGUCAAAUCAGCACGGCCCUUACGUCCGGGGCUACACACGUGUUACAAUGGGGGGUACAGAGGGCCGCUACCACGCGAGUGGAUGCCAAUCCCAAAAACCUCUCUCAGUUCGGACUGGAGUCUGCAACCCGACUCCACGAAGCUGGAUUCGCUAGUAAUCGCGCAUCAGCCACGGCGCGGUGAAUACGUUCCCGGGCCUUGUACACACCGCCCGUCAAGCCAUGGGAGCCGGGGGUACCUGAAGUGCGUAACCGCGAGGAGCGCCCUAGGGUAAAACUGGUGACUGGGGCUAA